ensembl:snRNA U6 U6 spliceosomal RNA
GUGCUCACUUCAGCAGCACCUAUAUGAAAAUUGGAACAACACAGGGAAGAUUAGCAAGGCUUCACGCAAGGAUUUAGUUAUAUAGUGUAUAAAACAUAAUUUUU